rnacentral:rRNA from 1 species
UACGGAAGGUCCGGGCGUUAUCCGGAUUUAUCGGGUUUAAAGGGAGCGCAGGCGGGAGGUUAAGCGUGACGUAAAAUGUACCGGCUCAACCGGUGACUUGCGUCGCGAACUGGCUUUCUUGAGUGAGUACGACGUCAGCGGAAUUCGUGGUGUAGCGGUGAAAUGCUUAGAUAUCACGAAGAACCCCGAUUGCGAAGGCAGCUGACGAGUCCUUAACUGACGCUAAUGCUCGAAAGUGCGUGUAUCGAAC